rnacentral:rRNA from 1 species
UCCGUAGGGUGCGAGCGUUAAUCGGAAUUACUGGGCGUAAAGUGUGCGCAGGCGGCCGAGCAAGUCGAGUGUGAAAGCCCCGAGCUUAACUUGGGAACUGCGCUCGAAACUACUUGGCUAGAGUGUGGCAGAGGGAGGUGGAAUUCCACGUGUAGCGGUGAAAUGCGUAGAGAUGUGGAGGAACACCGAUGGCGAAGGCAGCCUCCUGGGCCAACACUGACGCUCAUGCACGAAAGCGUGGGGAGCAAACAGG